rnacentral:rRNA from 1 species
GUUGUAGAGAUACAGCAGCCGCUUGCGGUCUGUAUACAGGUGCUGCAUGGCUGUCGUCAGCUCGUGCUGUGAAGUGUUGGGUUAAGUCCCGCAACGAGCGCAACCCUAUCAUCUGUUGCCAGCAUUUAAGGUGGGGACUCAGAUGAGACUGCCGGUGACAAACCGGAGGAAGGUGGGGACGACGUCAAGUCAUCAUGGCCCUUAUGUCCUGGGCUACACACGUGCUACAAUGGCCGGUACAGAGUGAAGCGAAACCGCGAGGUGAAGCAAAACGCAGAAAGCCGGUCUCAGUACGGAUUGGAGUCUGAAACUCGACUUCAUGAAGUUGGAAUCGCUAGUAAUCGCGCAUCAGCAUGGCGCGGUGAAUACGUUCCCGGGCCUU